rnacentral:rRNA from 1 species
UCCGCCAGGGGACUACGAGCAAAAGCUUAAAACCCAAAGGACUUGGCGGUGCUUUAGACCCACCUAGAGGAGCCUGUUCUAGAACCGAUAAUCCCCGUUAAACCUCACCUUUUCUUGUUAUUUACCGCCUAUAUACCGCCGUCGUCAGCUUACCUUGUAAAAGAACAAAAGUAAACAAAAACGGUUUUUACCUAAAACGUCAGGUCGAGGUGUAGCGAAUGAAGAGGGAAGAAAUGGGCUACAUUUCCUAAUAAAGGAAAUUACGGAAUAUACAAUGAAACAAGUAUAUGAAGGAGGAUUUAGCAGUAAAUGGAAAAUAGAGUGUUCC